rnacentral:rRNA from 1 species
CCUACGGGGGGCUGCAGUGGGGAAUAUUGCACAAUGGGGGAAACCCUGAUGCAGCAACGCCGCGUGAGUGAUGACGGUCUUCGGAUUGUAAAGCUCUGUCUUCAGGGACGAUAAUGACGGUACCUGAGGAGGAAGCCACGGCUAACUACGUGCCAGCAGCCGCGGUAAUACGUAGGUGGCAAGCGGUGUCCGGAUUUACUGGGCGUAAAGGGAGCGUAGGUGGAUAUUUAAGUGGGAUGUGAAAUACUCGGGCUUAACCUGGGUGCUGCAUUCCAAACUGGAUAUCUAGAGUGCAGGAGAGGAAAGUAGAAUUCCUAGUGUAGCGGUGAAAUGCGUAGAGAUUAGGAAGAAUACCAGUGGCGAAGGCGACUUUCUGGACUGUAACUGACACUGAGGCUCGAAAGCGUGGGGAGCAAACAGGAUUAGAUACCCCAGUAGUCUUG